UAUUGCUUAUGACAAAUGACAAUACAAAAAUUAUCAGAGCGCAAAGCGAAUAUUGAACAUUUACUUUAAAUGAUUGACAAAAUUAGGACAUUGGAAUUCAAGACUGGGUGUUUAUAAUAUACAUUUAUUUAUAUAACGCUAUGUCUGGUCACGGAGAUGACCCAUCGUUAAAAGGAUUGAGCCGAUAUUUCAACAGUCAAACCGAUAGGGGACGAGCAAAUGUUUCCAAAGUAACUAUGUCGCUUGUGGCGAUGUACUACGUCUAUUACAAAUUGUCGAGACCUAAAAAAGGAAAGAAGAAAUAAUCGUAAAAGUUUCAAAAAUGUGUAUUUAAUUUUUAUUGGUUUGAUUUGAUUCUGUACCUACUUAAUUUUGACAAUAUAAUUUUUUUGAAAGUA